rnacentral:rRNA from 1 species
GACGAACGCUGGCGGCGUGCUUAACACAUGCAAGUCGGGGGGACGGGUAAGCCGUUUCCUGCGAACGGGUGCGGAACACGUGAGCGACUUGCACUGGGAUGGGGGAUAGCUGGCCCAAGGGUCGGGUAAUACCGCCUAAGCCGCUCCCGUGGAAUCGGGAGGCCAGAAUGGCUAGAUGGGCUAAGAGGGGCUUGCGGUCUAUCAGCGAGGUAGUGCGGUAACAGGGCAACAAGGCGAAGACGGCUUGCUGGUAUGACAGGAUGGCCAGGCACACUGGGACGGAGAGACGGCCCAGACUAGGAAGGGGGGCAGCAGUGGGGAAUAUUGGGCAAUGGGCGACAGCCUGACGCAGCGACGGCGCGUGGAGGAUGAGGACCGUCGGGGUGUGAACUCCGGGUGGCCGGGACGAAUGCGCCGCAACGGCGGGGUUGACGGUACCGGGUGAGGAAGCACCGGCUAACUCUGUG